AACAGUUCUGCUUCUGUGAGCCAGGUGGAGAAGAGACGGUAGGACCAGAGAAGUAGUGUUGGAAGUGAGCAUUUCUAGGUGCAGACGAGGCAUUUGGGGCAUAGAAGAUCACACUCUUCUUCCGCCAUGUCUUAAGAUAUUACUUUAUAGUAAUUUAUCUUAGUCCAGGUGCAGUGCCUCACACCUGUAAUCCCAGCACUUUGGAAGGCUGAGCUGGGAGGAUUGCUUGAGGCUGGCAGUUCAAGACUUCUUCCAUUUUAAGGGGCCUUGUGAUUACAGCUGGUCCAUCUGGAUAUUCUAAGAUAUUCUCCCUAUUUUAAGGAGAGAAAUCUGAAAUCUGAGGUGCAGUUGAUUUGAAUCCAGGAAAUCUAAGGAAAAAGUUCAAGCUCUUAAUCAUUUCAUACCCUUCUUGUUGCUAACUUAAACUUUUUUUUUAAAAAAGUUAAUCUUGUCUAUGAAGCAUGAAUCUAUAAUACUAGGGAAAAAACUGGCUAACUUGAAGAAAAAAUAAAUUGAAAUGAAAAGCAAUUAAUUCCUCUUAAUAUGAAUAAAGGAUGAUCUAAAUGC